rnacentral:rRNA from 1 species
UACGGAGGGUGCAAGCGUUACCCGGAUUUACUGGGUUUAAAGGGUGCGUAGGUGGGUCUGUAAGUCAGUGGUGAAAUCUCCGGGCUUAACCCGGAAAUUGCCAUUGAUACUAUAGGUCUUGAAUCAUCUGGAGGUAAGCGGAAUAUGUCAUGUAGCGGUGAAAUGCUUAGAUAUGACAUAGAACACCAAUUGCGAAGGCAGCUUACUACGGAUGUAUUGACACUGAGGCACGAAAGCGUGGGGAUCAAACAGG